UAUCGGGACCACUCAGCUUGGUUGCACAACUCAAUCAUCACAUAGUGUGCCCUAUUCUUUCCAACAUCAAACCUACCCUUUAGUGUGAAAGAAUCGCCAAACUUCAAACUCAAACGCUCACAUAGAUCACUAAAACUAGGGGGACCAUCAAACCAUUCCAAAUCCUCAGACAUAUCCUCAAACUGACAAUCCUCUCUCCUAACACUUCCUCUGUAAAAAACUCUUACACCGUAAUCCAUCUACAAAACGAUUUAACAUCCGAUCAUCAAAUAUACUAAAUUUUAAAUAACUAACUAAGUACAUACUAAGUAAUAACUAACAAACUAAACCCUAAACCCAAAUAAUAAAUAACUAAAUUAUCAACUAUACUAACCUAAAUUAUCAACUAUACUAACCUAAAUUAUCAACUAUACUAACCUAAAUUAUCAACUAUACUAACCUAAAUUAUCAACUAACUAACUAACUUACUAAGUAAUUACUACAUAACUAACUAACCUAAACCCUAAAUUAAUAACUCUAAUAAUAUUAAAUAACUAAAAAAUUUAAACUAUUAAAAAACUAAUAAUAAUUGUUAAAUAAUAAUAAUAAAUAGCUAAUAAUAAUAGUUUAAUUUUUAAAAAAAUACCUUCACCGGAGGCCUCAACGGAG
rnacentral:lncRNA from 1 species